GUUUUCAUGGUUAUAUCCAGGUUGACCGUGAGAAGGCUUUAAAAAAGGCAAAAGAAUCUGAGGCGAAGUGUGCGACGGCUGAAAAGAGGGCAACACACUAUGAGAACUUGAAUUUCUGUGACCGGGUUUUUUUUA